UCCCUUGUGGCUCAGCUGGUAAAGAGUCUGCCUGCGAUGCAGGGGACCCAGGUUCGAUCCCUGGGUCGGGAA
rnacentral:tRNA from 1 species